rnacentral:rRNA from 1 species
AUUGAACGCUGGCGGCAUGCCUUACACAUGCAAGUCGAACGGCAGCACGGGUGCCUGCACCUGGUGGCGAGGGGCGAACGGGUGAGUAAUACAUCGGAACAUGUCCUGUAGUGGGGGAUAGCCCGGCGAAAGCCGGAUUAAUAGCGCACACGAUCUACGGAUGAAAGCGGGGGCCCUUCGGGCCUCGCGCUAUAGGGUGGGCCGAUGGCUGAUUAGCUAGUUGGUGGGGUAAAGGCCUACCAAGGCGACGAUCAGUAGCUGGUCUGAGAGGACGACCAGCCACACUGGGACUGAGACACGGCCCAGACUCCUACGGGAGGCAGCAGUGGGGAAUUUUGGACAAUGGGCGAAAGCCUGAUCCAGCAAUGCCGCGUGUGUGAAGAAGGCCUUCGGGUUGUAAAGCACUUUUGUCCGGAAAGAAAUCCUUGGCCCUAAUACGGUCGGGGGAUGACGGUACCGGAAGAAUAAGCACCGGCUAACUACGUG